rnacentral:rRNA from 1 species
CGGACGGGUGAGUAACACGUGAGCAACCUGGCUCUAAGAGGGGGACAACAGUUGGAAACGACUGCUAAUACCGCAUAACGUAUCGGGAUGGCAUCUUCCUGAUACCAAAGAUUUUAUCGCUUAGAGAUGGGCUCGCGUCUGAUUAGAUAGUUGGCGGGGUAACGGCCCACCAAGUCGACGAUCAGUAGCCGGACUGAGAGGUUGAACGGCCACAUUGGGACUGAGACACGGCCCAGACUCCUACGGGAGGCAGCAUG